GGAGUCAGGACGAGGUUGUCUCCUAGCGUGUGGAGAUUGUACUCUCCUCGCCCCGAGCACUCCGCUUCCGCUCCGCCUCCCGGCCCGGCACUUCCCCCACUCCGGGGCUGGCGGCCGAGGCGCGCGGCAUUGUGGGGGAUGUAGUUCCAGCAGAAGGAAGUGGCGGCACGUGCUCCAAGCUGCCAGACUCCAACUCCUUAACUGCGCGACGCCGUUGCCUGGCAACCGUAGGACAACUGGCUCCUCCCUCCAGCUCAAAGGAGAAGCUGGGAGAAGCUAUCUCCGCCCUAACUCUCUGCAGGCGCUGAAAGGAUUUGAAACGGCACUUAAUGAGAUGCCUGGACACCUAUCAGCCUCAAAGUACAACAGAGUAAAACAUUCCUCCCAGGAGCGGGAAGGAAAGGCCAGUUGACAGAAGUGGAGGAGAGGACGACUAUACCAACACAAAAUAAAGUCUUAGAAGAAGCUCAAAAUGAGUACAAAGGGGUCCUAGCUUCCUGAAAGUGAAGGUGGAAAGGCAAAAAAUUACUGUGAAUUAACAGCUUUCAUGCUUUCCUCUUUAGCAGCUCCUGUCCUUCCCCAGCAUUUCUGGUGAUAGAAAAGCUCAAGCUUUUGCAAAGCUAAUGACUUGCCUCUGUGUGAAGCUUACUGGAGACUGGACCUCGACAAUGGACCUCACUGAUGGCCUUUUGGACUCUCUUCUGGCUUCCUGUGAGCCUGGCACUGGCUCCUGUCCACUCCCAUGCUGAUGACUCUGGCCCCACAGAACAUACCUAAGCUUCCUAAGGAUAACUUCCCUGAGCUUCUGGUUUAUCAGGAACA